GGGGGCGUAGUUCAGUUGGGAGAGCGCUUGACUGGCAGUCAAGAGGUCAGGGGUUCGAAUCCCCUCGUCUCCACCA
rnacentral:tRNA from 1 species